UGGGGAAUAUUGCACAAUGGGCGCAAGCCUGAUGCAGCCAUGCCGCGUGUAUGAAGAAGGCCUUCGGGUUGUAAAGUACUUUCAGCGAGGAGGAAGGCGUUGUGGUUAAUAACCGCAACGAUUGACGUUACUCGCAGAAGAAGCACCGGCUAACUCCGUGCCAGCAGCCGCGGUAAUACGGAGGGUGCAAGCGUUAAUCGGAAUUACUGGGAGUAAAGCGCACGCAGGCGGUCUGUCAAGUCGGAUGUGAAAUCCCCGGGCUCAACCUGGGAACUGCAUCCGAAACUGGCAGGCUAGAGUCUUGUAGAGGGGGGUAGAAUUCCAGGUGUAGCGGUGAAAUGCGUAGAGAUCUGGAGGAAUACCGGUGGCGAAGGCGGCCCCCUGGACAAAGACUGACGCUCAGGUGCGAAAGCGUGGGGAGCAAACA
rnacentral:rRNA from 1 species